GCAGCCGCCGCGGGAAUACAGAGGGUGCGAGCGUUAAUCGGAUUUACUGGGCGUAAAGCGUGCGUAGGCGGCUUCUUAAGUCGGAUGUGAAAUCCCUGAGCUUAACUUAGGAAUUGCAUUCGAUACUGGGAAGCUAGAGUAUGGGAGAGGAUGGUAGAAUUCCAGGUGUAGCGGUGAAAUGCGUAGAGAUCUGGAGGAAUACCGAUGGCGAAGGCAGCCAUCUGGCCUAAUACUGACGCUGAGGUACGAAAGCAUGGGGAGCAAACAGGAUUAGAUACCCGCGUAGUCCCUGUCUCUUAUAC
rnacentral:rRNA from 1 species